GACUUGGGCCUGGAUGGUGGGCUGAGUCCAACUGGCUCAAUUAUGAUAGACGUAGGCUUUAUGAAGCUCAAACGGGCCCGGAGCCCAUUCAGAAGACUGGGUUGGUACGAUAGAAGCCCAACCGCUGCAGAUUCUAUUGGCGGUCGAGGAGCGGCUACCCCAAUGGCUUCUCUUGGCUCGAAAGGUGGAUCCCUAGUAGGC
rnacentral:lncRNA from 1 species